rnacentral:rRNA from 1 species
GACGAACGCUGGCGGCGUGCUUAACACAUGCAAGUCGAACGGUGAAGGGACCAGCUUGCUGGUUCUGGAUGAGUGGCGAACGGGUGAGUAACACGUGAGUAACCUGCCCCCUUCUUCUGGAUAACUGCAUGAAAGUGUGGCUAAUACGGGAUAUUCUGGGUCUGUCGCAUGGCGGGCCCGGGAAAGAUAUUGCUUCGGUGGGGGAUGGGCUCGCGGCCUAUCAGCUUGUUGGUGGGGUGAUGGCCUACCAAGGCGGUGACGGGUAGCCGGCCUGAGAGGGUGGACGGUCACACUGGGACUGAGACACGGCCCAGACUCCUACGGGAGGCAGCAGUGGGGAAUAUUGCACAAUGGGCGCAAGCCUGAUGCAGCGACGCCGCGUGAGGGAUGGAGGCCUUCGGGUUGUAAACCUCUUUCGCCAGUGAAGCAGGCCUGCUCCUUGUGGGUGGGUUGACGGUAGCUGGAUAAGAAGCGCCGGCUAACUACGUG